AUCCAGGUGACGAGUCCUGAAUAAGACGAAACGCGCGUCCUGGAU
rnacentral:hammerhead_ribozyme from 1 species